AACAUACUACCUCCGUCCCAAAAUUCUUGUCUAAGAUUUGUUCAGAUACAGAUGUAUCUAACACUAAAAUGUGCCCCAAAUUCUUGUCUAAGAUUUGUUUAGAUAUGGAUGUAUCUAACACUAAAACGUGACUAGAUACAUCCAUAUUAAGACAAAUCUAAGACAAUAACUUUAGGAUGGAGGGAGUACAAA
rnacentral:pre_miRNA from 1 species